ACUCCUACGGGAGGCAGCAGUAGGGAAGUCUUCCACAAUGGGCGCAAGCCUGAUGGAGCAACACCGCGUGAGUGAAGAAGGGUUUCGGCUCGUAAAGCUCUGUUGUUAAAGAAGAACACGUAUGAGAGUAACUGUUCAUACGUUGACGGUAUUUAACCAGAAAGUCACGGCUAACUACGUGCCAGCAGCCGCGGUAAUACGUAGGUGGCAAGCGUUAUCCGGAUUUAUUGGGCGUAAAGAGAGUGCAGGCGGUUUUCUAAGUCUGAUGUGAAAGCCUUCGGCUUAACCGGAGAAGUGCAUCGGAAACUGGAUAACUUGAGUGCAGAAGAGGGUAGUGGAACUCCAUGUGUAGCGGUGGAAUGCGUAGAUAUAUGGAAGAACGCCAGUGGCGAAGGCGGCUACCUGGUCUGCAACUGACGCUGAGACUCGAAAGCAUGGGGUAGCGAACAGGAUUAGAUACCCUGGUAGGAUAGCG
rnacentral:rRNA from 1 species